AGUGGGGAAUAUUGGACAAUGGGGGAAACCCUGAUCCAGCGACGCCGCGUGGGUGAAGAAGGCCUGCGGGUUGUAAAGCCCUUUCGGUGGGGAAGAAAAGCUUCGACCUAAUACGUCGGAGUAUUGACGUAACCCACAAAAGAAGCACCGGCUAACUCUGUGCCAGCAGCCGCGGUAAUACAGAGGGUGCGAGCGUUAAUCGGAAUUACUGGGCGUAAAGCGCGCGUAGGCGGCUCUGCAAGUCGGGUGUGAAAUCCCCGGGCUCAACCUGGGAACUGCAUUCGAGACUGCAUUGCUUGAGUAUGGGAGAGGGAGGCGGAAUUUCAGGUGUAGCGGUGAAAUGCGUAGAUAUCUGAAGGAACAUCAGUGGCGAAAGCGGCCUCCUGGACCAAUACUGACGCUCAUGUGCGAAAGCGUGGGGAGCAAA
rnacentral:rRNA from 1 species